rnacentral:other from 1 species
AAAGUCCUGAGGUGUUCGAUACUCCUGCUAUUUUGAACCUACAUUUACGUUUAUGGGAUUCCUAUAUUGCAAAUUGGAAGUCAGGCCGCCAUAUGAGCGGAAGGCAGAAGAGUUGUUGCGGUUACCCACCUAGCUUUGCUAGGCGUCGAAGUGCAGGAACCGGCAUUUUGGGUUUUUA